AGCAUAAGUGGACGUACGGGUGCAAGCAGCGGACAGGAGAAGGUCGGGCAGAGAAGGGGCAUUCCUAUGGAUCUGUGAAGAGAUAUACGAGGGGCUAGAGUUGUUCAGUGAUUUAUUGGUAUGGGUUAGCACUUUGAAUCAACUCCUAUAGGAUACAGGAAGCUAAUGUACAGAGGGCUGAGAUGUGACUGGAGAGGAAAAUCAGUCUGGCGGCGGCAUUCAAUGCAGACUGUAGGAGGGCAAUACGGUUUUUCGGAAGACUAAUUAGGAAUGGGUUACAAUAUUCAAUGUGGGAAAUUACUAGAGCUUGGACAAGCUCCUUGGUAGCAUCUUGUGUAAGAAAGGGGCGGAUGCGGG